AAAGAAGAAAAAAAAAGAAAAGAAAAAAGAAAGGGGCCCCAACCCAGCAAACAAACACCAGGAAUUGUUUUCCAGGAAGCAGGCUAUGCAGUCACUGCUGAGGGGUCACUGAGGACAGCAGUCAGAAGGCUUCUAUCCAAGUAUCUGUCCUCUCCUGUCACUUGCAUUUGUAUUUUUAAACAGAAGAGAUGUUCGUAAUGAGACGUGAAUACAGACAAAUCCCUCUGCCACAUAUUUGUUUAAGAAUAGAGUCUUUUCAGAAAUUUAAAAUAAAAAUGUUUCUGCAAAGAACCUCUGCUUACCCAGAAAGCUCACCCAUAGUGCCUUAAAUCACGAUAGUGGCAAUACCAGUUUUCUCUGAGGGUCAUUUAAUUAUCUGCAUGGUCCUUUCCUAUCAGCAGCCUGCAAAGAUAGAAAUAACAGGUUCUGAUUAUUCCCAGAAAAUGGAGAGGGAGAGGAUUCAUCCAAGAAUCCUGAGUUUGGGAAUGACAGAGCAUCGGUUUGCAUCAGCAUCUCUGACCACUGGCCUUCACUCCUUCCAGAAGAGAAGGCAUGUUGGCUGAAGAGCAGGCAUGUUACAAAGCCAGAAGAGGCUGGGAGGGUAUUGUCUGAGCCGCGGUGACACGGCCACUCUCCAGCAGGCAUCACAGUUGCAGCGAGGGACAGGAGUCUUAGGAUGCGGACAUUCCGACAGAGAACACCAGCCCCAUGGAAUGCUUUGGGGAAAAACAUGAAAGGCCCCUGUGGCUGGGGACGUCUGGUGAAUGCCUGCUGAGUGUCCUCAAGGAUCUCUGUGCAUGAACACUGUGGAUACCUUCACAAGUCCUGAAAUAGUGUUAUUUGACCCAGCUGUACCCAAACUAAAUUGACUGUAAAAAAAUAUUGCUUUAAUAUCUGUUAAGCAUCUAUGAACUAAUAUUUUACAAAACCUACUUUUGUAAACUCUGCUUUCCGUUGACCUUUUGGACAAAAGCUACCCAGUACUGGCUUCAUCUUCUGUAUCUGCAGGAAUGAAAGAGAUUUAACCAGCUCAAAGAUAUAAAAGAAGGAAAUUAAUUCAGAAUCCUUGUUCCAGGACUGGGAGGAAAUGAGCUCAAGCUCCAGGCAACCCCAUGUCCACAGACCUCAUUAGUGCUGGUCCCUGGGCUGGCGUCUGGGUUCAAUUCCUCCUGAUGAGAUUGGCAGACACAAAACUGACUUUAUGCAGGUGCAUCAGGCAUGCUCUGAAGGGAUGUGAGCCUCAUCCUAGUAAACAGGGAAGGCCGGGCAAGGAGGAAACCAAGCACCCACCCGUCUCUGAUGUUUCCACAUGUUGCUGGCUGUCCAGGGGCCAGGGCUGCUCUCUGGGGCAUCACUGUUUUCUUGGCUGAGCUUCAGUCAAGAAACUUCUAUCAGUACCUGAUGCAAAAGCACACAGACCGCAUGGUGAGGGAAUCAAGUUCUCCUUGGAAAAGGUCAGUAAACACAACAGAUCCAAUGCUGGCUCGUCACAGAGGCACAGACUUCCUUUCAGGCUCCCUGUCCAAGGGCCACCUCGACACUCCUCCCAGUGGUGGAUUUGCCCCGAACCUCUCUGUUGGAAAUAGAUGCUUGGUGCUGCAAAGAAAAAUUAGCACUGAGAUAAAGGAUCUGUCAGCAACACAAUUUUUACUUCCUAGGCUGCAGGAAGGGUACUCCCAGUAGCCAUCGUGCCACAAGAGUACAAAGAACAAAGGGAAACACACACAUUUAUUUCGUACGCAUUUGGGUUGUCCUUACUGCUGCGUCUGAUCUCCGUUGGCUGGAGCCACACCUCAUAAUCUAAACUAAAAUCCUAUUGGCUAACAACUUAAAACUUCACUAAACAGGUAAAGGCAAUGGAGAGCUGGGACAUGCCUGUGAGCACGUCCAGCACAGAUAUCUUGGUUAAAGUACAAGGACAUAGAGUGUACUACAUGCCCGUAAGCAUGGCAUGUUUAACAGCUACAUAGGAUAGGGCUUAACAAAGAGUUAUUAGCAUACUUGUGAUUUAACAAGAAAAGAAACUUUAAAAAGGAAAGCUAGAGACCUGGGCACCUAACGUUCAGGGGCUGUGCCUGUGUUGUUUUGCUGAAUUCUUCUUUCUUUGCAUUUUUUAUGUAUUUUUUCAUUGUUUAUAUAAAUUUAGGGGGUGCAAGUGCAGUUACUUGCACAUAUGGAGUAGUGAUGAAGUUUCUGGUGUCACCGUCACUCGAAUAGUGAACGUUCCACCUUCCCCCUCACCUCCGGACCUUCCUCCCCUUUUGAGUCUCCAAUGACUGUUAUUCCAUGCUCUGCGUCCCCAGGCACACAUUAGCUGCCAUGCAAGAGUGAGGACGUGUGAAUUCUUAAAGAGACUCCUGCCCUGCCUCAGGCCCCUGGAUCUGCCCUGUUACCAGCUCUGUAGCUGCCGGUGGUGGGUGAGACCCACAGUUCCCUUCCAAAAGCAGUUGGUUCUAUUCUGUGAAAUCCCUAAACCACUCCAUGUCUUCUGGGAGAGAGUGUGUUAUGGUGCCCCUGGAAGCCAUGCACAGCUCAUUUACCCACUGGGGCUGAAUCUCUUCUCCUGUGAGGCUCAAACCCAAACCGCACAUGACCUGGUAUAAUGUGAGCCUCAGCUCUGGGGUGAUUUCACUUAAUUUCUCCCUAAAUUGAAAGAUUUCACCUUCAACCACCAGCAACAGGGAGCACAUAACAUAGGUAAUCCAUUUGGAGGACGCUGGUGAUGGAGACAAACUUGAUCUGGGAUGUGAGAUAACGUUCCUUGCUGCCUGCUACCACUUUCUGUCUGGCACACUGAAGAAGAAUAAUUUGAUUUGCAGAGAUCUGACAAGUUGAUGGAAAAUACCAGCCCCUGGUAGCUGACAGAGGGAGAGGAGCAGUAAAACAUAAGUGGGACUUAGAGGGCCGCUGAUGUGCACGCAGCGCACUUGACAGGCGUCCAGGAUGCCCCAGACCUGCUCUGCUGCUGCCCUGGAAUGCGCCACACUGGCCAGGAAUGCCAUAGCUGUUCAUUCAUGCAUCAGCAUCUCCUUGUUCACCCUAAGCCCUUGGUCUCCCCUAGCUGAUCCAAUUUGUAGGCAAACCACAUUUUUGGACUGAUGUUUGGCCACUGAGAUGAUCGGAAUUGUCGUGACAUACCCCACAGUGGGAGCAAUGGCUUUCAGAGUAGGGAAGUUUCUUGUACUGAUUGUUGAUGCCAUAGUAGCCAGGGUCUCGGAAAAGCAGAGCCAAUGGGAAGUGGAAGGAUAAGGAGAUGUAUUGUAAGGGACUGGCUCACCUGACCAUGGAGGCUGGUAGACCCCUUGACCUAGUAUCUGCAGCUGGAGCCCCAAGAGAGCUGGUGGGGUCAUUCCAGGGCCUGAGAACCAAAGGUCUGAGGAUGGGAGAAGAUGGGGGUGGGGAAGGUCAGCUUAGCAGUCCAGUGGUCACCCAUCCCUCUCCCACCUGUGUGUUCUGUUCAGGCCCUCAGUGGCUUGGAUGGCGCCGUCUGCAGUGGGGAGGGUGGGUCUGCCCUCCCCAGUCCACAGAUCCUAGUGCUGAGCUCUUCUGGAAACUUGGAGCCCCACCAAGUUGACCUGUAAAAUUUACAUAACCGCAAGCCUCACAUAGACGUAUUUUUAUUAUCCUCUCUCUCUUGUUAGCCACCUCCUAUCUUCAUGUUAGCUCUCUGGGGGAUUUCAACAGCUGUAUCCUCUAACUGCUCCACUCUAUUUUCAGCUACUGUAGGUUUAAUUUUCCCGAGUUUCUCCUACCAUCUGACAAGUUACUGAGCAUGACUUGCUAAUCCCUCCCUCGGCACAGCUGUCCCGCACCUCAGCAUUGCUGGCGGAUCCCUGGGCCCCUUUCCCACUGCCACUGGUCAGCAAUGCUGGAGCGUCUUCCCCAUUUCCAUCACAGCCUUCAGACCCCAUAAACCUGUAGGAACAGCCUGGGUCUUGGAUCUGGGUGCAGAGCCAAGGCCUCCAGCCUCACCCGUGGACAGCGUGUCCUUGGAGUUCCGAGGGCAUGGAAGUGUCUGGUUGGUAGAAAAGUGAGUCACUGACAUCUGUAAUGUCUACCUGGGUGAGGCAGGAAGCAGGAGGAGUCAGAACAGAAUCAGAACCCUCAGCAGCAGCAACAGAGGCUGGGAAACACUGGGGAGAACAAUCUCAUGAGAGAAAAGGAUUUAUAAGCUACAAUUAUCCCCCAAGUGGAAACAUCACACACACAUCAGUAUUUUGUAUAUAGUUUAUAUUUGUUUUACUUAACAGACACUCAUAUGAUGCUGACACUGGACCAGGUGAAGUUCUAGCAUCUUCACAAACACUGACUCAUGUAAUCAUCAUUCUACAAAUGAGGAAACUGAGUCAGAGACCAGUCACUUGCUUUAUCUCUCAAACGACCAUAAGUGGCUGAGCUGGGGGAAGGCCAGUGGGUCUGUCUCAGACCACUUUGCCCACCUCAGACAAAGGGCCUGGAGGUGUCUGGGAGGAUGAGGAUGAGGGGAGGAAGUAAAUUCCCAGGAACGACGGAUGACAGAGCAGCCAGAGGCUGGGCAGGGAACUAGGAGGAGCUCUAGGGUCUUGCAGAAUAACUGGGUUUGAGUCUCAGCCCUGCUAUUAAAUUAGCUCUGUGACUUCAGGCCAGGUGCCUAACUUCUCUGGGCCUCACUUCUCUGCUGUGUGAAAUGUGGGUAGGCAAAGUGAUCAUUAGGAGAUCCUGUCUGUAAUAUUCCAUUUUUUAAAAAGGAACAUUUUGACCUGUUUCACAUGCUGCUGGGUUACUAUCCUUUACGAGGCAUUUUAUGGAAGCUUCCUUAACCAGUACCUGCAAAGGGCCCUUAACCUUGCGUUUCUGGAUGCAGUUGGGCUGUGAAAAUCUUUCCAUUAGUCUUUUUCCCGAUUGUUUCAGCAGGAAAGUAAGGAAACUUGAGUUGGUAGGGCCUGGGUAUCAUCUCUUAGGCCCAUUUCCUUAGAAAGAACCAGCCACUAAAAUUCCGCCAGCCUCCCGCCCCUUCCCGCCUGUUGCUCUGACGUGCCUUUCCCCUAGGUAAUGAUUGCUCACCCUGGGCAGACCCUGCUGAGGACGUGCUGAGGAUGUGCUGUCAUUUUCAGUGGCUCAUAGUGUGCAGCAACGUCCACCUAAAAGACCCAUGUUUUAAUUUUUAAUGAACAUUUCAAAUAUUUAAAAAGUUCCUUUUUUCUGUUUAUAAAAGUAUAAUAUGAUCAUUGUAGAAAGUUUGAAAUGCACAGCAAAGUAUUUUUAAAAAGUAAAAGUACCCAAUUCUACCAAACCCAGAUAGGACUGUAAAUGUUUCUGUGACUCUUGGAGUACCUGCCUGAGAGCACUCGGGAAAUCCUGGACCAACUUUUUCUUGCUCAGAAUGUGGAGUGUGUGAAAUGUUUGCAUGUGGCUAUUUUUCAGGUUGUCAUAAUCAUUUUUUAAAUGUUGUAUUGGGAACAACGACAUUUGUUUUUCUUUUAUUUUCUCAUGACUAAUGAUCUUAAAUAUGAUUCUAUGCAUUUAUUGAAAAAAAAUUUUUUUUUCUUUGUGAAAUGUCUUUGCUCAUAUUUUUUUUUUAUUUGGUCCUGAGAUUAUUCUUGGGAACACCGUGCCAGGGUCUGACGUAAGGUUUCUCUCAUCCUAACCAAAUACAAGCUCUUCCCAAGGAACAGUCUACGCUGACACCUGUUCAUCUCACACUCGGCUCCCUCCCUCCAUGAGUCCUCCUCUUCUUUUGACCCCACUUACAUAUAGUAGCUCACACUUAUUCAUGCUUCUCCGUGAGGAUUUCCACUCUCAGGAGGUAGGGGAGUACAGAGAUGUAUUUGCUGGGCUCGCAAGUGGAGGGCCUCGGAGGAGGCAGUCCAGGACAAUGGACAAUGUCAUCAUUCUGCUGUCAUUAGGACUGACAUUGGAGACAGUGUCUUGGGCUCUGGAAGGAAGGGAGCGUUGACAACUGUCAUUAUUUCUAGUCUCCCCAGGGGAUGCAAAACAUUACAUGCACCUUGCUAAUGGCCUGCAAUGAUAGGAUAUGUAUCAGUGUGAAUAAUCUUGCUUAGUGAGAGUAAUGGGCUGAGUGACUGGGUCUGUCUAUCUCAUUUCUACUGGCAUAAAUAAAUCGGGGCACUAUGACUUCCACAGAGGAGUGGAAUUAAAGAGUCACUGAGGGCAUAACUUAGUUUUGGAAGGAGCAAAAUUCUGGAGACAAGGCUUAGCUCGGGAGUGUUGUGUAUGUGUGUGUUUCUAGCUGUCAUGGUCUGAAUGCUGGGUCCCCCCAAGUUUAUCUGUUGAAAUCUGGACCGUCAAGGUGCUGGUAUUAGGACCAGGACCUCUGGGAGGUGAUUACCUCCUGAGAGUGGGGCUCUGAUGUGUGGGUUUGGAGACCGAGGGAGCUUUUUGGCUUGUCCACCCUAAGAGGAUGUGGUUAGAGGAUGUCUUCUGUGAACAGAAAGCAAUCCCCCCACAGACACCAAAUCUGUCAGGGCCUUGAUCGGACUUCCAGCCCCCAGAAAUGUGAGAAAUCAAUGCAUGCACAAGUCACUCAGAUUAUGGCCGGGUGUUACAGCAAUAAGUGGACUAGGACAGCACCCAUGUGACGCCAGACUUUGCUGCGGACACCUGCACUCUCUCCUGCUGUGUCCUCACCGGCACCACCCUCCCAAGGUAGAGUGGAGGAGUGUUGUCACCAUCUGUCACAGACAUUGUCACUGUCGUGGACUGGCAGUCAGCCAACCAAGUGUCUGGUGCCAGCAGUUGCACCCACAAACUCCCCUGGUGAGGGGGCUGAGGGAUGCAUCGGGGGCAGUUCUAUGGUUAACUAAGUUGGCAGUCUCAGCCCCUCAGCAUUCCCGUGCCCAUCUCCAUUUAUGCUCUUAUUUCUAUGAGAUGAAUCAUCAGGAGUCAGGUCACUGGUAUGAAGAGUAUGUCAUUGAUAAUUUUAAUAUAUCUUGCCACACUGUUUCAAAAGAUUACAAAAAUUUUUAUUUUCACAAGGAAUGUUUGAGAACUUCCUUUUUCUUUCAUGUC